CUACUGGGGUAUCUAAUCCUGUUCGAUACCCGCACCUUCGAGCUUCAGCGUCAGUUGCGCUCCCGUAAGCUGCCUUCGCAAUCGGAGUUCUUCAUGAUAUCUAAGCAUUUCACCGCUACACCAUGAAUUCCGCCUACGUUGUGCGCACUCAAGUCUGACAGUUCGCGCUGCAAUCUAGAAGUUGAGCUCCUACAUUUCACAACACGCUUACCAAACGGCCUACGCUCCCUUUAAACCCAAUAAAUCCGGAUAACGCCCGAACCUUCCGUAUUACCGCGGCUGCUGGCAC
rnacentral:rRNA from 1 species